rnacentral:lncRNA from 1 species
CGGGGUUACACAAAGGACACUCAUUGAGGGGGAAGGAAAAAAGGGCAGCGAGCGCGAGCGGGAACGCCCAGCCGGAGCCUGCUGGUGAUUUAAAGCAGGAAACUCCCUCGCCUCACACAGACACGGCCGCAUUCAGGACCAGCCAGCAUCUAAAUAGGAGGAAUAAUCGCUCCAGAAAGAGAUGAAUGGCACACAAGGAACGGCUUCUGCCUUACGGGCAUUACUAAAACCCUCACCUCGCCCAUGCGCCCCUACGGCACGCAGGUCAACCGGUGAGCGCUGUGCUUCAGCUCCCUUUCUGCGCCCCGAAGACACGCACGUGGCCACGCGCGGCAGCAGGAAACACCAUGAGGCAGAACCGGAAGGACUGCGGGGCUGCAUGCCACGGCCACGCCAAUCCCAACUUCUGGGCAGGAAACGUAUGCCAUGGCAGAGCGCUGAAGAUGACUCAAAUCGCCUCUCCCCCACCCUCCGGUGCCACGGAACAACAGCCCUCUUCAGCCAGGGGAGGGGGACCACGUGGAGGGAUGACUCAAAGCUCUGGGAUAGGGGAAAAACCCACAGAGCAGAGCACACAGCCACCCCCCCAAAACUCACACCGCCUCAUGUUAUAUUAAUUAAACACACAACAACUGCCUUGAGGUAAUAAACACUACAAAGGCAAAGCCAUCUCGUCCUACCACAAGAUAAGUUUACUGAGGUCAAACCCCAGGGAAAACUAAUCUAACCACAUUUUCAAAUUGUUUGGAAUAUUCCAUAGCCCAACAAAACCAUAAAUUGACAAAAACAUCCUAUCCUAGAAUAGCGUGGGGAUAACAAAGAAUGUUUUGUUUAAUUAAAGGCAGAUGACCUAAUAAAAGUUUCACACUCACAGUGCGCAAAUAAAUCUUCGUCUUUGUUUUACAUCUAUUGCUUUUUUUUUCUUUUUUUUUUAAAGAAAACAAUCCUGUGUUUAUUUCCUUAAGAUGGUAUAUUUUGGCUUUGAUUAAAGUGAUUUCAUUAAAUAUAUCAGAAUACUUG